UCACUGAUGUCAGCAGCCAAAUCCAGUUUCUGUUGAUGAGAUAAUGUAGGGCCAUUUGCCAUGUACAAUCUAUUAACAGCUGGAAGAGAAUGAGCUGAAGUCCCCAUAAGUGAUUUGUAGAAAGCAGUGAUUUCCUUCUUCAGAUCAUCUGGCUGUGUAAUCCUCAAGCCUUCCUCUGUGAUCAGUUCAGUAAUCUUCUUGUGUUGGUUUCUCUCUUUCAUUACAACAGAAAAGUAUUUGUUGUUACCAUCCCCUAGAUGAAUCCAUUUGGCUCGAUCUUUCUGUUGUAAUAUUGAUUCUUCCAGCAGAGACCAUUUUUCCAGUUGAAGUAUCAGAUCUUUUUCUCUUAGUUGCAAUGAAUCAGAAUAUGCACUAGUCAUCUGGUGUUGUAAGGCUUCCAGUUCCUUACGGCUGACCUCAAUUUUCUGUGAAAUUGUCUUAAAUUCUCUGGUAUUUAGAGAUUUCAAGACUGGUUUAAGGGACUUGAGGUUGUUCCACACCCCUUGAAGGGUAGGCUGAGCAUUGACAUUCCAGGAAGCUUUAACUAGUUGUUGAAAAUCCUGAUGCUGUAUCCAUGCAUUAAAGAAUCUAAAGGGGGUUUUCCUGAUUGAAAUAUCCUGAUGCUGUAUCCAUGCAUUAAAGAAUCUAAAGGAGGUUUUCCUGAUUGAAAUAUCCUCUGUCAAGGUCAGUACCAUGGGGUUAUGAUCAGAGAUUAAUGGGGCUCCAUAUACAGUAUGCACAUGGCUCCAUUUUAGCAUCCACUCACAAUUACCAAAACUUCUAUCCAGACGACUGCAUACUCUAUCAUCUCCACCUUGCUUAUUAGUCCAGGUAAAAAAGUCUCCCUUCCAAGGCAGUUCUGUUAGGCCAGCAUGCUGCACACAUUGAAUAAAAUCAGUAACUUCAGCUAGUCUAACUUGAUGACAAGAUUCUCUAUCAGUGCUGGACAUAAUGGCAUUAAAAUCCCCUGCUAUCAACCAGGGGUCAGUGAUACUAGCAGCAAGAUUCUGAAGAGCUAUCCACAGUGAUUUCCUUUGUACAAUGUCAUUGUGGCCAUAUACCACUGUAAGGCAACAGAUUAAUUCAUCAGUGAGCUUCCUAACAAUGCAAUGGAUGUAUUGUGCCUCUUCUUGAACACCAGUGACCAAGAGCUUGGUUGUAUCCCAUAAGAUCCAAAUUCGACCAUUUAUGGCACUGCUGUAGUUAGCUAGCAUACCCCAGUUAGGCAGUAAAAAUUCAGAUAUUUUUGCUGCAUUAUUCUGUUUAACUUUAGUUUCUACUAGACCAACAAGGUCAAUUUUAUUGACUCUAAAAUAUUCUUUAGCUUCCUUCUGUUUGAAUCUUUUAUUUAC
rnacentral:lncRNA from 1 species